AGAGUUUGAUCCUGGCUCAGGACGAACGCUGGCGGCGUGCCUAAUACAUGCAAGUAGAACGCUGAAGAGAGGAGCUUGCUCUUCUUGGAUGAGUUGCGAACGGGUGAGUAACGCGUAGGUAACCUGCCUUGUAGCGGGGGAUAACUAUUGGAAACGAUAGCUAAUACCGCAUAACAAUGGAUGACACAUGUCAUUUAUUUGAAAGGGGCAAUUGUUCCACUACAAGAUGGACCUGCGUUGUAUUAGCUAGUAGGUGAGGUAAUGGCUCACCUAGGCGACGAUACAUAGCCGACCUGAGAGGGUGAUCGGCCACACUGGGACUGAGACACGGCCCAGACUCCUACGGGAGGCAGCAGUAGGGAAUCUUCGGCAAUGGGGGCAACCCUGACCGAGCAACGCCGCGUGAGUGAAGAAGGUUUUCGGAUCGUAAAGCUCUGUUGUAAGUCAAGAACGAGUGUGAGAGUGGAAAGUUCACACUGUGACGGUAGCUUACCAGAAAGGGACGGCUAACUACGUGCCAGCAGCCGCGGUAAUACGUAGGUCCCGAGCGUUGUCCGGAUUUAUUGGGCGUAAAGCGAGCGCAGGCGGUUUGAUAAGUCUGAAGUUAAAGGCUGUGGCUCAACCAUAGUUCGCUUUGGAAACUGUCAAACUUGAGUGCAGAAGGGGAGAGUGGAAUUCCAUGUGUAGCGGUGAAAUGCGUAGAUAUAUGGAGGAACACCGGUGGCGAAAGCGGCUCUCUGGUCUGUAACUGACGCUGAGGCUCGAAAGCGUGGGGAGCGAACAGGAUUAGAUACCCUGGUAGUCCACGCCGUAAACGAUGAGUGCUAGGUGUUGGAUCCUUUCCGGGAUUCAGUGCCGCAGCUAACGCAUUAAGCACUCCGCCUGGGGAGUACGACCGCAAGGUUGAAACUCAAAGGAAUUGACGGGGGCCCGCACAAGCGGUGGAGCAUGUGGUUUAAUUCGAAGCAACGCGAAGAACCUUACCAGGUCUUGACAUCCCGAUGCUAUUUCUAGAGAUAGAAAGUUACUUCGGUACAUCGGUGACAGGUGGUGCAUGGUUGUCGUCAGCUCGUGUCGUGAGAUGUUGGGUUAAGUCCCGCAACGAGCGCAACCCCUGUUGCCAGUUGCCAGCAUUAAGUUGGGGACUCUGGCGAGACUGCCGGUGACAAGCCGGAGGAAGGCGGGGAUGACGUCAAAUCAUCAUGCCCCUUAUGACCUGGGCUACACACGUGCUACAAUGGACAGAGCAGAGGGAAGCGAAGCCGCGAGGUGGAGCGAAACCCAUAAAACUGUUCUCAGUUCGGACUGCAGUCUGCAACUCGACUGCACGAAGAUGGAAUCGCUAGUAAUCGCGAAUCAGCAUGUCGCGGUGAAUACGUUCCCGGGCCUUGUACACACCGCCCGUCACACCAUGAGAGUCGGUAACACCCGAAGCCGGUGGCCUAACCGCAAGGAAGGAGCUGUCUAAGGUGGGACUGAUGAUUGGGGUGAAGUCGUAACAAGGUAUCCCUACGGGAACGUGGGGAUG
rnacentral:rRNA from 1 species